rnacentral:lncRNA from 1 species
UGAUGUAAAAUGUGAGGAUGAAGAUGCCACAGGGAGGUGGACUGCUCUCACUGGGUACUGUACCACACCUUGUAUCACUGACACACAAAAUGAGGCAAAACAGAGGCACCCCAGAGCCAGCUCAAACUGCUCCUCAGUAUUAACUGCCCAAUUCCAUGUGUCCCUGCUAGGUCUUCUGGAGGAUGGCAAAUUGGCUCACACAGGGGUACCUACAGCAUCAGCCACAGCUGGAAUGCUGAAUGCUGAGAAGAGGAGCAACUGUGGCUCUCAGUGUGCAAACCCCAUGGUCCACAGCAUGGGAGCUACAGCACAGAGACAGAAUGGCUUCAGGACCACUGAGAGUAAAUGGGACACACAGAAAACGUCCACACAAGAAGUCACCAUUAACGUUACAAAAGGCAUCAGACAAAGUGACAGAAGAAAAACAAAGAAUUGUGCCAAUUAAUGAAGAAAAUUGCAGGUGAGGAUGGACUUAACAAAGCUUCACUGCACUUUAAAUGUCAGUUCACUGAAGACAUGAAGAUCUCCAGGUGUUCCAGGUUGAAUACAGCAGGCAGCUGCUACUGAGUGCCUCCAGAAGCAGGUCUUGUGGAAACCAGCUGCAAGCACCGUAGACAUUACAGUGUUUGUCUAAAGACAGACAUAGUCAUUUGUCUAAAGCAGUGGCACUGCACAGACGUUAUUUGUUUUUUACUGACUUUCAUGUUAUCCCUUGUGGAUGUCCUGUUCCACGUUGCUAUUAAGAUGAGGCUGGAUAAUAAGGGGUACAGCUCAUCACAAUUAAAACCAGGAAAUGAACAAAUGAAUCUGAAUUUUUAGUCAUAAAGUUGUUUUGAGUGUGGACAUUUACACCCAGGGUUCAUUUAAAGCACUCACAUAUUUUAAAACACAAGCCCAGACAUCUCAAGAAAGUGAGACUAAAGUCUAGUCUUCCACUAAAUCUCUUUUCAAUUAUAUAUAUAGGUUAAAUAUAGUUAAGUCAUACAGUAAUGUUUUUAUAUAGUAAAUGUUCAAUUACUUAGUUUUAAUUUAUUGUUUGUAUUGACAUAACUUUGGUCUUAAAAAUAGUAACUUUCAUAUUGAUCAGCCUUACUUGAAGGUCCUAGUCUCAACUAGUAAGUAGAGUUGUGGCUACUUGGUUGUUUUAUAAAUGCCCCUUUGAUUAUGUUAGAGCCCAGUCUGCCUAGGAAAAAAGUUACCAUUAAUAUUACAAGAAAAUAACCACAAUCUUUAAAGUCAUAUUCUAAUGUCAGUUCAAAAAAGUUAACUUUCUUUGAUAAGAUAUAAUAAAUUCACUGUGCUGAACUUAUUUAAUACA